rnacentral:misc_RNA from 2 species
AACGCACAUUGCGCCCUCUGGUAUUCCGGAGGGCAUGCCUGUCCGAGCGUCAUUGCUGCCCUCAAGCCCGGCUUGUGUGUUGGGCCUCGUCCCCCUCUCCGGGGGGACGGGCCCGAAAGGCAGCGGCGGCACCGUGUCCGGUCCUCGAGCGUAUGGGGCUUUGUCACCCGCUCUGUAGGCCCGGCCGGCGCCUGUCGACCCCCAAUCUAAAUUUUUUCAGGUUGACCUCGGAUCAGGUAGGGAUACCCGCUGAACUUAA